GUCUACCAACAUACCACCCUAAAUACACCUGAUUUUGUCUGAUCUCAGAAGCUAUUCAAGGGUCAGGCCUUAUUAGUACUUGGAUGGGAGACAGCCUGUGAAUACUUUAAAUUUUAUAGGAG
rnacentral:rRNA from 1 species